rnacentral:lncRNA from 1 species
CUGGGUUUGUGAACACUGAGCAUCAACAUCUCCAGUCUCAUCAUGGGAGACACUCAUCCAGAAGCAAAUCUCAGCCAACAGGAGCGGAGCCAACGUGGGUGGCUGCAACUGCAGUAAGAUUGCCACCAUUCGGGGGCCAGCCAGGAUCUCAUGCCUAGUGCUGCUUUGGUGGCUAUGAUGGACCAUUUCAACAGGUGACCACAUGGAGAAUUGAGCAACAUAUUCUUAUGGAAACAGCACCUGUACAGGGAAAGGCACAGUAUGUGGGGAAACACAGGAAACAACACAGAGGAAGAAGAAGCACUUGAGGAGACAGUGUUCCUCUGAGCUCGGCGUGCUGUGUUGUCUGCUGGGCGGCUGGCGGAGGACCAGGGCACAGAGCAGUAUUUAACUGCUCAGCUCUUGCUCUGAACAGCUGAGCUAUAAAUGCUCAUACCUCAGCCGAAGAAUAAGCAACCUAAUCUUAACUUGUAUUCCAGUAAAAAUAAAAAUACGUUGGGUUGGAAGAAAGAGAGAUGCAUUGCCUUUUGAUUUCACUUACCACCUCUUUUAUUGCAAGAAUUGUAUUGCUGCUCCUCCAGCUGUGAUAACUCUUUCAGGAAUAAUAAGAGCUCUCACCUGUCUUAAACAGACCAAUGAAAGAAUCUAGUCCUUCUGCGCUGUUUGUGGAUAUUGAGUUAAGUAGUAACUGGCACUUAUAGGCCACCUUAACGUGCAUUAUCAUCGUACCCUCAGGGCAGUCAUUGGAGGUAAGUGUGGCAAUCAUCUUGGUUAUAGAUGAGCAAAUGAAGAACAGAGAAGCUAAGCAGUUUGUUCAAGGUCACACAGCCAGCCUGUAAGAUAAGACGGUAUAAAGGAAAGAGCUCCAUUUUGAGGUCAGAUAGUUCUGGGUUCUUAUCUCUCAUCUGUUACUUAGUAGCUGGGUGACCUUGUUGUUUCUCCUCUCUGAGUCUACAUUUCCUAGUUAUUAAAAUGAUAUAGUAAUGCUCACUCCAUGGAUUUAUUAUAAAUUCAGUGGAACAUUUAUAUAAAAAGACAAUGUCAAAUAUACUGCUUAAUAAUUCCUUCUCCAUUUGCUCCUUUUUCUUCCUAAGAAAAACAGUUGUUGGAGCUUGAACUCAGACCAGCUGAUCUCCCAGCCCACACUCUUUGCACCCCUCCACGCUGCCUGCCGUCUCUACCCUCUGCCACUAUGACAGUACAAUGGCAGGCGGGAGGUGAUGCCUUCUUGUAAAUCAUCUGUGAUACAGUGAGGAAGAUCCCUGGGUACUACAGGAACAUGCAUUUAUUCACUUAUUCAAAGAAGAAAGUAAAAGAAGAGUAGAACUGGAAGAAAAAGAAACUGAAAUGAAACUAAAGGAAUUGCUGAACUUCAAAGUCCUAUUAUCCUGACAUCAAAUACUCAUGAGGCUACAGCCUGACAAAUACCAACAAUUCUGAUGCAAAGACAUUUCAAAUUAGAGGAUAGAACAGAUGCCUUUUAAUUCUGAGUGUGAGAUCUCAGCUCUAAACUGGAAGAAUAGGCUGCAGGGUCCAGACAAUUUGAUUUGAGCGGGCUUGUGAAGACAUGAUGGAUGGCUGGCUCCCCAGCCUUGCACUGUAAUUGAUGGCAGUGCCGUAUUGACCCAGACUAUUCUGCAAAAGAAACCGAGUUUCUGAGGCUAUCAACUGGGGCUGUCAAGGAGCAAGCAGAGGGCGCAGGCAAACCUAUCCUGUGAGCCCCAAUCCUGGGGAGUUGACAUCUCUCACUGCCUGACAAAUCCUCCCCAGAAUCCAAAAUGAUUGAGGGCAGGCGGGGGUGGUUUUCUGGCAGAUCUAAAGACAAUGUUCUGAUUUGAUCCCAGGGGCUUCUGGCAAUAAAUUACCCAUUUGGCUGAGAUUGGCCCAUCCCCGCCCCACAUCCCAAUCCCUCUUUGCUUCUGCAGACAAACUACUAGUCUGAUUUUAUCUACUCGGAAGGUGGGGGCGGCUGUGACUUGAAACAGAGAUAGAUGUCUUGAUUCAUUAAGCAAGAGCAUAGGCGACACAGGGUAGAGCACCAACUGUGGGAUUUUAGGGUAGGACAGAAAAAGAGGGGUCAUCACUGUGGCACAGUGCAAGUGUCAAGCUUCUGGGUCUGAAUCCAGGGUGUGCCUUAUAUAAGCUGUGCAAACGCUGACAAGUGUCUUACCUUUCUCUACAUCAGUUUUCUCACCUGCCGAUGGAGUUGAUAAUAACAGUGACGGCUGAAGUUUAUUGUGUGUAAAACAGCUGCUGUACACAGGGUUCUCGCUAAGCGAAAGACAUUUGUACGACCUUAAGCAAGUCAAUAUGGUCCCUUUGUAUUUCAGUUUCAUUAAAGUUAAUAAUAGCUCACCAGAAAUAACAUGCAUUGAAUUCAUGGUAUGUGGUGGGCACACCCAAAGAUGUAAUGGAAGGGAGUUGAAUAAGGGUUCUAUUUACAAAGGUGUGGGUCAGAUGUGAUAAAAUACUACCAGGGCUAGCAAGAGUAGGAAACCACUCAUCCUGGAGUGAAGGGAACUCGAGAGGAACCAAGGCUUUAGGAGAGGGCUGCCUGACAGCAGCUCAGGGUGGUGCAGAAAGCCAGCAGGUGAGCAAUACCCACUUCCCACUCUCUACCGUGCAGCCCAUGGACCAAACCCAACUGGAAACCGGAGGGACAGGGAAUCCAGGGAUGAUGCAGUGGAAGAGGUUUCAGCUUAUGGAGCACAGAGAGGAUUAAGAAGCUGUUAUGGUUUGGCUGUGUCCCCACCCAAAUCUCAUCUUGAAUCGUAGCUCCUGUAAUUCCCACAUGUCGUGGGAGGGACACGAUGGGAAGUAAUUGAAUCAUGGGGGUGGGUCUUUUCUGUGCUGUUCUCCCGAUGGGUGAAUAAGUCUCAUGAGAUCUGACGGUUUUAUAAAGGGGAGUUCCCCUGCACACUCUCUCUUGCUUCCUGUCAUGUAAGAUGUCCCCUUACUCUUCCGCCACGAUUGUGAGGCCUCCUCAGCCACGUGGAACUGCGAGUCCAUUAAAUCUCUUUCCUUUAUAAAUUACCCCGUCUCGGGUAUGUCUUUAUUAGCAGCAUGAGAACAGACGAAUACAGAAGCAUAAAGGGGAUACGCAGCACAACUCCGUAGGUGCCCUUUUUUUUUUUUUUUUUUUUUUUGAGACAGAGAUUUGCUCUUCUUGCCCAGGCUGGAGUGCAAUGGCGCCAUCUCCAUCCACUACGACGUUGGCCUCCAGGUUUAAGUGAUUCUCCUGCCUCAGCCUCCUGAGUAGCUGGGAUUACAGGCAUGAGCCACCACGCCUGGCUAAUUUUUUAUUUUUAUUUUUUAUUUUUAGUAGAGAUGGGGUUUCUCCAUGUUGGUCAGGCUAGUCUUGAACUCCUGACCUCAGGUGAUCUGCCUGCCUCAGCCUCCCAAAGUGCUGGGAUUACAGCACUUUUAUUUCAUCCUUGCCACAACCCUAUAGGUGAGGACUGUUGUCCCCUUAUCUUCCACAUGAAGGGACUGAGAAAAGGCUCUGAGAACUUAGGAACCUCGACCAAGUCGCACAUCAGGGAAGCAGCAGAGCUGGUAUCCAAACCUGGACUGUCUGAUUUUGGAACUCAUGCUCAUAAUUAUUUCUGUUAGAGACCAUGACCCCUGCUUGUGUGUAGAGACACCAUGACCCCUGCUUGUGUGUAGAGAGACCAUGACCCCUGCUUGUGUGUAGCAUCCCUGGGAUGAUCCCAUGAGAAGGGGAAUGAGACAGGGAAAACACAAGACACACAGAGAAGGUAACAGGGCCAUUGUCCUUAGCCAUGAAGAUGACUUUUCUGAAACAUACACCGGAAUCAAACCCACAUUCCAUUUUCAUGGCUCCCCAACAUCCUCACGAAAAAGUUGUCAUCUCCCUGCUCCUUCACAAGCUGCAUCUUCCUCCACUCCCAACCAUAUUCCCUAUCCUCCGGCCACCCAGAAACAUUACCCAUUUCCUGCACACAGUCAGGGGUCUCCAAAGACACACAACCAAGAAGACAGCUAUACCUAUAAAUAUAUGCACACUAAGAGAUUUACUUCAAGGAAUUGGCUUGCAUGAUUGUGCAGGCCAGCAAGCGGCUGAGACCAGGUUAUGAAACUGGCUAAUUUUUGUACUUUUGGUAGAGAUGAGGUUUCACCAUGUUGCCAAGGCUGGUCUCGAACCUCCCGGCUCAAGGGAUCCACUUGCCCUUGGCCUCCCAAAGUGCUGAAAUUACAGGUGUGAGCCACUGAACCUGGCUGAGAAGGGCUUGUGGGAACCCUAAUUUAUAGCUGGUUGGUCAGAAGAAGGGGUCGCAAGGUGGGACUUGCCAUUGGCUUGUGAAGUAGAGAUAGUCUUGUGCGAUGGAGCACUUAACCUGUGGAGUCUGACACUACUCCAGGUAGAUGGCAUCAGGAUUGAAUUUAGUUGAAUUAAAGGACAUCAAGUUGGUGUCCACCAGAAAAUUGCUUGUUAUGUGGAGGAAAAAAUGUCCCACACAUGUCGGUGACUGACGUGGAGUGUGUUGAGUAUGAGUAGAGAGACAGUUUUGUUUUCUCCUUUACGGUUACCUUAUUGCCCCCACACUGGUAGGUUACUUGAUCAGCUAAUUAUCACCACCAGGCUGAAAACUCAGGCAGGCUUUUGUGCUGCAGACUUGAAGCGGAAUUUCUCCUUCUCCAGGAAAUCUCAGUUUUGCUCUGAAGUCCUUCACCUGAUUGAGGGAGGCCCACCCAUAUUCUAAAGAGUAAUCUUUUUUACUUAAAAUCAACUGAUUAUAAAUGUUAACUACAUCGAUAAGAUUCCUUCACAGCAAUGCCUAGAUUCGUGUUUGAUUAAAUAGCUGUGGACUACAACCUAGACGAGUAAACACAUGAGAGCAACCAUCACAACCUCUUCUCAUGCCACCAGGCCUUUGUGCAAGCUGUUCCCUCUGCCAGGGCUUCCCUCCCAGCCUUCUCAUUCAUGCCAUUCCUGGAGGCACAGUCCAAAUGCCCAUCACACCCUCCCCUUUGUAAAGCAUUCCCUGAUUUCCUCACGCAGAGUGAGAUCCUCCUCCCUCGUGCUUCUGAAGCAUCCCCCAGGCUCAGUCUGUCAUAGUAUUUAUCACACUGCAUAGCAAAUAUUUACCGUUACCCACCACCCCACUAGCCUAAGAAGCUUCCUGGGGCAGUAGCUGGAUAUUCUUCCAGCCCAGUGUCCCCAGCAUCUUGCACGUGUCUCAGCACAUGAAAGGGCUCAAUAAAUAUUUGUUAAAUGAGCCAAUUUGCUAUAGAUAAGAAGGAGAAUGUGAAGGAAAAGAAAACCCUGAAGCUCAGUGGAGACAUGGACAGAUUUCACUACUCAUAAAACUCACCAAUGUGUAUCUUUCAUCUCACUCAGCCC